AAGGUGAAGGUUAAACGGUCGCCCGCGACGACGCUAUGACCGUUAAGUUACUCCGUAAGAGUAUACCGAGUAUGUAAACAUGAGUUAUCUUGAAUCAUCGAGAGGCGUAAAUACAUCGCAUCAUCGAGAAGCCUUCGCAACAUGUUAAUUAAGAAUCCGUCCUAUUGCCCGUUGUUGGAUUUUACUCACGGAACAAAUCUCUGACACGUCGAGCACCCUGGCCAACGAGGAUC